rnacentral:rRNA from 1 species
UGUAAGAGUGUAGGCCGUGACAUAGGCAAAUCCGUGUCACAUUAAGGCUGAGACUUGAUGCAUACCCGUUGUGGGGAAUUCAGUGAUCCUAUGCUGCCGAGAAAAGCCUCUAGUGAGUUCAUACACGGCCCGUACCCCAAACCGACACAGGUGAUCAGGUAGAGAAUACCAAGGCGAUCGAGAGAACUGUGGUUAAGGAACUCGGCAAAAUGCCCCCGUAACUUCGGGAGAAGGGGGACCAUGCCCGGUGAACAUCUUCACGGUGGGAGCUGGGUGUGGUCGCAGAGACCAGAGAGAAGCGACUGUUUACUAAAAACACAGGUCCGUGCGAAGACGUAAGUCGAUGUAUACGGACUGACGCCUGCCCGGUGCUGGAAGGUUAAGAGGACCGGUUAGCCGUAAGGCGAAGCUGAGAAUUUAAGCCCCAGUAAACGGCGGUGGUAACUAUAACCAUCCUAAGGUAGCGAAAUUCCUUGUCGGGUAAGUUCCGACCUGCACGAAUGGCGUAACGACUUCUCUGCUGUCUCGACCACAGACUCGGCGAAAUUGCACUACGAGUAAAGAUGCUCGUUACGCGCGGCAGGACGAAAAGACCCCGGGACCUUUACUAUAGCUUGGUAUUGGCGUUCGAUUCGGUUUGUGUAGGAUAGGUGGGAGACUGUGAAGCAUGCACGCCAGUGUGUGUGGAGUCGUUGUUGAAAUACCACUCUGAUCGUAUUGGACGUCUAACCUCGGCCCAUGAUCUGGGUUAGGGACAGUGCCUGGUGGGUAGUUUAACUGGGGCGGUUGCCUCCUAAAGAGUAACGGAGGCGCCCAAAGGUUCCCUCAGCCUGGAUGGCAAUCAGGUGUUGAGUGCAAGUGCACAAGGGAGCUUGACUGUGAGACUGACACGUCGAGCAGGGACGAAAGUCGGGACUAGUGAUCCGGCACCGGCAAGUGGAAGCGGUGUCGCUCAACGGAUAAAAGGUACCCCGGGGAUAACAGGCUGAUCUUCCCCAAGAGUCCAUAUCGACGGGAUGGUUUGGCACCUCGAUGUCGGCUCGUCGCAUCCUGGGGCUGGAGUAGGUCCCAAGGGUUGGGCUGUUCGCCCAUUAAAACGGCACGCGAGCUGGGUUUAGAACGUCGUGAGACAGUUCGGUCUCUAUCCGCCGCGCGCGUAAGAAACUUGAGGAAGGCUGUCCCUAGUACGAGAGGACCGGGACGGACGAACCUCUGGUGUGCCAGUUGUUCCACCAGGAGCAUGGCUGGUUAGCUACGUUCGGAAGGGAUAACCGCUGAAAGCAUCUAAGCGGGAAGCCUGUUCCAAGAUGAGGUUUCUCACCGCCUUGCGUGGUUAAGGCCCCCUACAGACCAUGGGGUUGAUAGGCCGGAACUGGAAGCGCAGCAAUGCGUGGAGGUGACCGGUACUAAUAGGCCGAGGGCUUAAAAAA